CUUCAAGAAUCUCUAGUACCAAAUUUUGACUAUAAACAACAAUCUUGAAAGGGUCCUGAUUCUCCAACCUCAACACUGUGCACCCCAAUAGGUUGCUAGAUCUUAUUCUCUUGCUUUGAUGGUUACCAUGAUACUAUUUUUCCAAGCUCAUUAUAUAUGUCAAUGGGGUGUUAAUACUGAAAUGUAGAAUUUAUUUCCUUUGAAGAAUAAAGAUGUUGAUCGUUAUUUUUGUUACCCCUUGGCUGUUAGAUUGUUGGGCUGCUACCCAAGGUUCUAAUAAGUCCAGAGUCGUAAUGAAUCUGAGUAAUGAAUAAGACUUAUAGGGAGGAUGAAAAGGCCAUGUGGAUAUUAAUUUUAAAGUUAUUUUAAGGAGUUAUGUUGAUCUUGAUUUGAAUUUUGAUUUUUAUCCAUUAAUUUUUGGACACUACGAAAUGACUUUUUUUUUUUCGUUUCAGGUAUUGAUAUGGGUGAUUUUAAUCACUUUGGCUUGUUCCCAUUCAAUCCCAUCAAGGAUGCUAGAUCUCUCUUUUAUACUUUGGGCGAACAGAGGAGGCUCAUAAAAUGGGGUAAGUAUAAAGAUGAUAAAAUCUAUAUCCCUCCAAGGCAAUAUAGAACGAACUACCCAGUUUUUACGACUAUUGAUGAAUACAUGGAGUGGCUAAGUACUGCCACGAGUGACAAUGAGAAGGAUCGGAUCUAUGGCUAUGUUAAAUCACAUAGAAUUUAUGUUGUUGAAAGAUCUAAACCAGAGAAACUGCUUAAGAGCCCAGUCAAGGAUUCUAGCUAGAAAGCUCCUCCAUUAGGGUGUGUUAAAAUUAAUGUUGAUGGAGCAUUCAGAAAAGUGCAAGUCCAGGGUAAAGAUGAUGAAGGAAAAGGAGCUUGGGGUGCAGUGUAUAGAGAUCAUGAGGGAAAUGUUUUAUUGGUACUUUGUGACGCAAUAGAUAAUGCAACCACGGCAUACCAAUGUGAGGUCCGAGCCUUUUUGGAAGGUCUCAAAGGUGCACAUAAAUUUGGUUACAAGUCUAUUUUUAUAGAAAGUGAUUGUCAGAAUCUCAUUGCUGUGCUGGACAAGGAAAUCGAUAAUAAAAGCGAAUUUGCAGAGAUCUACAGUGAGAUUAAAACAGAGUACGAGGGCUUCGAUUUCAAGGACAAAGGGCACAUCUUCAGGGAAGCUAACACAUUAGCCCAUCGCGUUGCUCAAGGCAGGAUUAAUGGCGUAAUACUUAAUCAGGGUGUCAUUAAGUACCUUGCAAAACAAGAUGUGUCCUUCCGUUUUGCUCCUGUUAUUGCCAAGCCCAAUUAGUGGAGAUUCCAGUUCUUCCUGUAUUUCAGUAGUGAAGUUAAUUGAUCUUAGGCACUUAUCCUUUUAUUUGAUUUCGACACUAAAGAAAGAGAUCCCUAUUGUUGCCAGUUUUACAUUAAGGGGAACAAUGUUUGGGCUUUCUUUGCUAUUUGUCAAUACUUGUUACUAUUGGGAAGUUGCAGGAUUAAUUUUUUAAAAAAUGUGUCUUUCUCUCUC